GACGAACGCUGGCGGCGCGCUCAACACAUGCAAGUCGAACGGAAAGGCCUGCUUUCCCUUGUGGAUUGCGGGUACUCGAGUGGCGAACGGGUGAGUAACACGUGAGUGACCUGCCCCCAACUUGGGUAUAAGCCUGGGAAACUGGGUCUAAUUCCCGAUAGGACUGCAGGGUGGUGCCUGUGGUGGAAAACGAUUUUCUAGUGGGUGGGGAUGAGCUCGCGGCCUAUCAGCUUGUUGGUGGGGUAAUGGCCUACCAAGGCGGCGACGGGGAGCCGGCCUGAGAGGGUGGACGGCCACAUUGGGACUGAGAUACGGCCCAGACUCCUACGGGAGGCAGCAGUGGGGAAGAUUGCACAAUGGGCGGAAGCCUGAUGCAGCGACGCCGCGUGGGGGAUGACGGCCUUCGGGUUGUAAACUCCUUUCGACCGCGAGGAAGCCACCUGGUUGGAAGGGUGGUGACGGUAGUGGUAGAAGAAGCACCGGCUAACUACGUG
rnacentral:rRNA from 1 species